UAUAUAAUACAUUUGCAAAUAUAGUGUCUUAAAGUUAAUGAUUUCAUUUUUAGUUUAGAAAAUAUGGACAUGGUAUUAAUGUUAGGGCUCAGCAUUUCUCUUCAUAUUAAGUUGUUCUCAACCUUAUUAAACCUCCUUGCUUUCACAGAUUGAUAGGAAAUAAUGAAAAUAUAGAGGACAUCAAACAAGGGGAAGAUAUUUUGGCUUUUUAUUUGAUACUCCAGGAAGAUCUGAUGUCAUAUCCCUAAAAGGACAAAUCAGACCAAAGUGAGGCUCCAAGAUGACUGGGCUUUUUGGACAUAAUCUUAUCAACACACGAUCUGGGGAAAAAUCACUCACACCCUGAAAACCUUAGUUUUCUCAUGUGUUAAAUAGGGACAAUCAAAUACCAAUUUCUGAAGACUGUUCUAAUAAUUAAAUGAGACAUUCCUUAUAAAACACUUAGCAGAACACCUGGCAAAUUAACACGGAGUUGCUGGUUACAGACCAAACCUUCCUUUGAGAAUGUGACAUGCUGGACAACAUAUAAAGCCAUCAAUCUGAAGGCAAUGGGGAAUUCUGAAGCCACAAGGUCCUCAAACUUACUGUGGAUCUAAGGUCACCACCACUUCAUCCGUAGAUCCACAGACUGCCUCAGCCUCUGCCCAGACUAUUCCAAGACAGGCUGCAUCCAAGCAGUGAGGUGCGUCUCUUUGUGAAGCUGUGGUCAUCUGCGAUAUUGCACUAGUUUGUAUUUGCCCUUCCUUCUUUUUUGCCCAACUUUCUUUUCCCUUUACUUUGGUGUCUCAGAGUUAUGCCUCCCAUUUUUUUCUAGGGAACUUAGGCUAAGACAGAAUGAAAGUACAGAGAAGUGAGCCCAAUUUAGCUCUGUAGACAUUUGUCUAUGUGUAAGCAGAAAGCAAGAGGCUGAGAUGCUGAGCAGAGUUUCCAACAGUCUUACAGUGUUGAUAAGAAAAAAAUGGACUUAAGGACCAAGGAGGAGAGGCCCAGGCAAACACUCCAGUUCUAGCUUGUAACUCCAGAAGGGACAGACAUUACCUCAAAAAUAAUGAAGCUAGAAUUAAAUCAACUAAAUCUUUGAUGGAAUGAAAAUUAAUCUGUCUCUUAUCCAACUGCCAAACAAAAAUAUAUUCUCUCUGGAAGAUGGUAUUGUCUAGAGUCUUAAAAUAUCUGUAUAAUUUAUCACUUGUAUUGUCUUGUGUGGCUGCAAAUAAACAAUUACUAUGUUUAUCAGGAGAUGAGACCAUAUGACAGAAAAAUAAGAGAAAACCAUAUUAUAGAAACAUACUCACUGGAAAUCCAAGUAUUGGAUAAAAUUUCAGCACAAAACAGGAAAAUAUUAAAAUUCUUCAAAUAUAAAUUCUAUAAAUUUAUAGAAUCUAUAAAUUGAACUAAAAUCUAUAAAUUGAUUGAAGCAGAUUAGGUAUAAUUAAAAGAGAGCAUUAGUAAAUUGGAACACAGACUGGGAGAAAAUAUCUACUACAAAGCACAGAGAGAAAAGAAAAUGGAAAAUACACACACAAAAAAGAGGAAACAUACAAGAUCUAUGGGGAUGGUGAAAUAUUUAACAUGUAUGUAAUUGAAAUCUACCAAAAAGAAAAAAGAAUAAACAGAUGAGAAAAUGAAGCAGACAGAAAAUUUGAAAAUCAAAAUGACAGGACUUUACAAAAUGUCAAGCCACAAAUUCAGGAACUUAUAAACACCAUUCAAAUUAAGUCCAGAUAAAACAAAUAUGGGUAUAUCAUAGUAAAAGUGUUCAAAAGAACAAAGACAAAGGCAAAAUAUUAAUACAAUCCAGAGGAAAAAGAUAUCUGAUCUUCAAAAUAGCAGCAAUUAGACAGAUUUUGAAUUCUCAAAAAAAGAAGGUAGGCCACAAACAUAAAAUGACAUCUUCUAUCAGAGCUAGAGGAAACUAACUAUACUAGAAUUUGAUAACCACAGAACAUGUCUUUUUAAAGUGAAAGCAAAAUAAAGAUAUUUUCAAAUAAAAAAACAGAAUUAUUCACCAAUUUAUACUAAGGAAAUACUAAUGGGAGUUCUUUAGUCAGAAGGUAAAUUAUUCCAGACAGAAAGCAUAAUGAAAUUGGAAGAAAUAAAGAACAUCAGAAAACAUAAAUACAUGGGUAAAUCUAAACGAAUGUGUAAUGUAUAGAAUAAUAAUAAUAUCUGGAAGUGUUUGAGUUCUAUACAGAAGUAAAAUCCAUGACAACAAUAGCACAAA